AGCCUUGAGGCGUUUACAUGUAUGAUUGCAAAUCAUAAGUAGCAGGUUAAUCCCUGCCAGGGCUU
rnacentral:tRNA from 1 species